UUUUUUUUUUUUUUUUUUUUUUUUUUUUUUUCC
rnacentral:ribozyme from 2 species